rnacentral:lncRNA from 1 species
AGUUAACUCCCUCUUUGCCAUUUUAAUGAUGGCUUAUUAAAUCAGAUCAUUUUUACCUGUCGCUGAGGUCACUUAAAAAAAAAAAUGAUAGUACAUAUUCUAAAAAUUGAAACCAAAUUGUUGGUUAAAGAUCAGAUUCCACACACGCGCAGCCCUUAGUGACAAUAUUGAUUGCAUUCAGGCAAACAGAUGAGCCUUUUUAAUGCAAAGUGCUAGAAUUCAGUAGAAAAAGGUUAAAAUCGAAAUGAGUAAUCUUCGGCGCAUAAUCUGCAAUUGUUAAUUUUAGCUCUGUGCGUAGGAGCUGUUAUGACUUGAACAGCCGGCUCUAGCCUUCAUUAGGGGAGAGGCACACAGUUUUUGAGACAGGUGGAGCUAGAUCAAGCUGUGAAAGUGAUUUGCUUGAAGCUGGUCAUUAGUUUUAGAAAUCUGUUCUCUAUUUAUUUUAUCUUUUAACCCUGCCAUGAUUACAGUUGCUGUUAUUGGUGUUUAUUUUUUGUGUUUCUCCCUCCACCUCCCUGCUAGGUUGGUGACGAUGAUCUCUGGAAUUCUCUAAAGGAACAGCAUGGAGAUUGGCACUUUGAACUGUUAAUGGGGUCAUGAAACUCACGUUGUCAUUGAUCAUUUGUGUGGAUUUAACUAGUGAGCAGCAACAACAACUGAUAGAAAGGCAUCAGGAAUUAACUCAGCACUGAAGGUCAUCAGUUCUUGUUCUUUUAAUUUCUAUCUGGAAGAAUGUCUGAGCAAGAUAAAACAGAAGAAUCUGGUAAUGAGGCAGACUUAGCCAUCUCCCAACAAGAAAACUGCAUCCACAAUAAAAGUGAAAACUCAGAAGGAGACGAAAAUGGCAAAUCGGAUCAGAGACGAAGUGCUAACCAGAACCAGAAAAAGAGAUCCAAGGUAGAGCUUUUGACUGCUUUCUCAGUGUCACAGUAUUAGGUACAAAGCUGUAUGCAGAUGGUUAAUUCUGGAAGUUUAUUUCCAUUUGGCAUUUGUGUUAUAAUGAGGUAUCAUAAUACAUUUGGUAGCUUUUCGUCAGUUACAUUUUUGUCUCUGCU